AGAGGGAGUAAAGAAUGUUGAACUGCCUCCUUGACUGUAGUGGCAGCUCAACUAUUUUACCAUCAAGAGAUCAGAAACUUCACCUAAGACUCAACCACCUACCGACAGCUUGUGUACGAGCAGCCUGUUGACCAUCACAAGCUGUCCAAGCCUCCAUUCAGAGUGAUGGCAUCUCAUGCUCAGGUGUUUCUGCUGCUGAUGGUGUCUCAGCUCCUCCUCUCAGUAACUGUUGUCAGUGCUCCUUCAAAGGAAGAUAUUCUAAAACAAAUGAAAAGUGCUGUAGAGUUUUUUGUUGCACACCUAAAUGAGAUCAGA